rnacentral:rRNA from 1 species
CCCGUUGUGGUCGGUGGACAGGUGGUGCAUGGUUGUCGUCAGCUCGUGUCGUGAGAUGUUGGGUUAAGUCCCGCAACGAGCGCAAACCCUCGUCCUAUGUUGCCAGCGGGUCAUGCCGGGGACUCAUGGGAGACUGCCGGGGUCAACUCGGAGGAAGUGGGAUGACGUCAAAUCAUCAUGCCCCUUAUGUCUUGGGCUUCACGCAUGCUACAAUGGCCGGUACAAAGGGCUGCGAUACCGCGAGGUGGAGCGAAUCCCAGAAAGCCGGUCUCAGUUCGGAUUGGGGUCUGCAACUCGACCCCAUGAAGUCGGAGUCGCUAGUAAUCGCAGAUCAGCAACGCUGCGGUGAAUACGUUCCCGGGCCUU